rnacentral:rRNA from 1 species
GUUGUGAGGUUAAGCGACUAAGCGUACACGGUGGAUGCCCUGGCAGUCAGAGGCGAUGAAGGGCGUGCUAAUCUGCGAAAAGCGCCGGUAAGGUGAUAUGAACCGUUAUAACCGGCGAUACCCGAAUGGGGAAACCCAGUGUGAUUCGUCACACUAUCAUUAACUGAAUCCAUAGGUUAAUGAGGCGAACCGGGGGAACUGAAACAUCUAAGUACCCCGAGGAAAAGAAAUCAACCGAGAUUCCCCCAGUAGCGGCGAGCGAACGGGGAGGAGCCCAGAGCCUGAAUCAGCAGGUGUGUUAGUGGAAGCGUCUGGAAAGGCGCGCGAUACAGGGUGAGAGCCCCGUACACGAAAAUGCACCUGCUGUGAGCUCGAUGAGUAGGGCGGGACACGUGGUAUCCUGUCUGAAUAUGGGGGGACCAUCCUCCAAGGCUAAAUACUCCUGACUGACCGAUAGUGAACCAGUACCGUGAGGGAAAGGCGAAAAGAACCCCGGCGAGGGGAGUGAAAAAGAACCUGAAACCGUGUACGUACAAGCAGUGGGAGCACCCUUCGGGGUGUGACUGCGUACCUUUUGUAUAAUGGGUCAGCGACUUAUAUUCUGUAGCAAGGUUAACCGAAUAGGGGAGCCGGAGGGAAACCGAGUCUUAAUUGGGCGUUAAGUUGCAGGGUAUAGACCCGAAACCCGGUGAUCUAGCCAUGGGCAGGUUGAAGGUUGGGUAACACUAACUGGAGGACCGAACCGACUAAUGUUGAAAAAUUAGCGGAUGACCUGUGGCUGGGGGUGAAAGGCCAAUCAAACCGGGAGAUAGCUGGUUCUCCCCGAAAGCUAUUUAGGUAGCGCCUCGUGAA